UAGGGAAUCUUCCGCAAUGGGCGAAAGCCUGACGGAGCAACGCCGCGAGAGUGAUGAAGGUCUUCGGAUCGUAAAACUCUGUUAUUAGGGAAGAACAAAUGUGUAAGUAACUAUGCACGUCUUGACGGUACCUAAUCAGAAAGCCACGGCUAACUACGUGCCAGCAGCCGCGGUAAUACGUAGGUGGCAAGCGUUAUCCGGAAUUAUUGGGCGUAAAGCGCGCGUAGGCGGUUUUUUAAGUCUGAUGUGAAAGCCCACGGCUCAACCGUGGAGGGUCAUUGGAAACUGGAAAACUUGAGUGCAGAAGAGGAAAGUGGAAUUCCAUGUGUAGCGGUGAAAUGCGCAGAGAUAUGGAGGAACACCAGUGGCGAAGGCGACUUUCUGGUCUGUAACUGACGCUGAUGUGCGAAAGCGUGGGGAUCAAACAGG
rnacentral:rRNA from 1 species